rnacentral:misc_RNA from 1 species
GAUGAAGAACGUAGCGAAAUGCGAUACUUGGUGUGAAUUGCAGAAUCCCGUGAACCAUCGAGUCUUUGAACGCAAGUUGCGCCCGAAGCCAUUAGGCCGAGGGCACGCCUGCCUGGGCGUCACACGUCGUUGCCCCCCCAUCUACUCCUUCGGGAUUGCGGGGGGCGGAUGAUGGCCUCUCGUGCGCCUCGUCGCGCGGUUGGCCUAAAUGCCAAGUCCUCGGCGACGCACGCCACGACAAUCGGUGGUUGCGAAACCUCGGUUGCCUGUCGUGUGCGGUCGUCGCGCAUCGAGGGCGCGAAAAAAUUACCGGGCUUCGGCUCGACUUUCAACGCGACCCCAGGUCAGGCGGGGUUACCCGCUGAAUUUAAGCAUAUCAAUAAGCGGAGGA